CUAUCGACGUCCUUUGGUACCAUCACAAAGUCCUCUUUGUCAAACAAAAGAUACAUAUUAUGAACAUAACAAACAUUAACAAUAGUCUGUUUUGAUGAAAACGAAGCAAGCAGGAAAGCAAUCAAUCCUUUCAAUGCAGUGAAAAUGCCAGAAAAAAAUAAAGAUUCAACCAGAACAUUUAGUCAAAGGGUGAAUUUUGGAAAUGAGAGCAUCCAUCUUUUUUUUUCCACUUGGCUUUGAACACGUCAGAGCCAAAGGACGCAGCGUCGUGUGGUGUGAGAGAGGAGGAGGACUUUUGAAGCUUCAAACUAUUUGGAAGCCUGCAGCCCUAAUUACGGUGUCACCACAAAUGGAGGCAUGUGAGGCCGCUGCCUUUCCUUCAGAGAUCUGCACAUCCCCGGGAGUCAUUAUACGCGCUUCAUAAUAAACUGACCAUUAGGCCCGGCACUGGCGAUGUAUCAUUAUAUAUUUAUGGACACAGUCUAGUCGUGAAGGAAUGAAAUGAAGUCCACCAUUCACACUCAUUACAUGCUUCAUGGUAAAUAAGACCACACUUUUAACUUCUGAAACUUAUUCUUGCGUAUUUGGGACAACUACCGCAUCUGCAGAGUCGAAUAUGGGUUUAUUAUAGAAAACAAUAACUUCAUUCAUGAUAGUGAGACAAUGCAGAACUCUAUUGUCCUUUGUGGAAUGCAUUAAAGGGGAACAUUCAUAUUUGCGGUGGAACGAUGGGUUUUCCUUUUUUUUUUAAACCAAGCCUCAUGUUUCCUCGAUAGUCUCAUUGACAUUCAACUACUAGACGUUCACACGAAAGCACAAACAAGAAACAUCAAAAGCGCCAUAAGGGAGAGACAGGAAGAAGGCUGAAAGCAAACUGCUAAUGGCAUCAACUAAUGGACACAAGAACAUUCAGUGUUCAAAUAGUCAUUCCUCUUGUUUUUUUUUAAACAGUGCAUUCUCAAUGCAAUCAUCUGCUGUCUCUGUAGCUCACACCAAGAUGUGGGGGCAAAAGGAAAAGCACAUGUUGUGUGUUCUGGAGAUGAUCAGUUCAUAUCAAAUAGCUGUUUGCUAUAUACUCUAUACUCUAUAAAGAACGUCAACACAACGUGAUUGUGACACUGCAUUUGAGAUUUUUAAAAGAAGAUGGGCUUAAAUGUAUACGUGAAAUAUCCCCAUGAUUGACUGUACCUCUUUCCUAACCGGGACCCGUUAGCUAUCAUUGGCCUAAGCCAAACGCUUGAUUAAUACAGGAACGUGACUUUGAUAAGAGUAAGUAGUGAUCAAUACUCUUUUUAUUUUGAUGGAGCUUUUAUUGCUUAUUUUGAAGUCCAGAACUUGGGUCCCGGAUGUGAACAUCCCAAAAAAACUGUGUUUACGACAACGAUGAAGAUCUUCCCCAGUUGGAACCAGGAUAGCGCGCAGCUAAUUCACCGGCCUUUGCGUCCAUUUACCAACUCUAGUAAAGACAAUGCUAACUUUCACAAUUAAACCAGUAUUUAGGCAGAGGUUUAACCCCAUUAAAUCAGCUGACGUUAAUAAAUAGCACUUCAUGUGAAAGGAUCACAUGAUGGAGUUGGUCUUAACAAUAACUUGUUUCACAUCAGCCAUGGGCAAGGCACCAAGGAUGCAACACAUGUAGGAAAUCAACUGUUGGAAAUGGGAAAAUACAGGAGAUGGAAAUGUCCCAGCUGGAGGUGAGGUUUGUGAAUGCAUCACCGGCUCGCUUGCUGAUACUGCUGAUAUUUCCCUCUUGUCUCCCUACAGGGAACCCUCAUGUUCAGUUUUGGGGCAAAUUCGAGGAGACGUUGAGGGGUAAUGGACAGGAAUGUGUUCGUGGAGCAGAUGUAAACUGUCCUCAUCGAAAAACGUAAUUUCACCUUUUCAACGGUUUUAAACACAAUCACAACAUCAACUGACUGCAGCAGCGGGAUGGAGAGACGGGGGCAGAAACCUCGCCGCGGCACCACGUGUGUCCCUGUGUCGGAGGGAUGAAUGGGCCUCGCUGCAGAGACGUUCCAUUUACGUUGGUGAUGUCUGGAAAUUCAUCUCUUACCGUCGGGCCUUUUUGCAACCUUUCCACACUGGCGUCAUUUGCAUAUAUCGUGACAAAUAAAUUAGGAAACGGCGCCAUGCACAUGGUUUCUUUCUGAGGGAGACAGCGUUUCCAUUCCGGCACACAAAACCUGCUGGGGCAUUUCUGUGUCCAUCAAAAGGACAUUUAGACUGGUGGGAAAUAGGACGGUAGGCAAAACCUAGCGAUACAUUUUUUUUUUUUCAUUUAAAAAGGAGCAGUCCAUUAUGCAGAGAAUAAUCAGGAGCACGCUGAGUCUAUGAUUAAAUUUGCUCGGUGCAGGACAAAUGACGUGGAGGAAAGGGCUCUAGUCCAUUCUGAGUCAUGUAGGCCAUCGAUCAAAUAGUCUGUGUGGAGAAAUGUAAAUGAGUCGUACUGUACGUGGAUUGUAUUAAAUGUACAGUGCAAAUAGGUGAGCAGGGUAAAGGCCAUUACGAGGAUGUUGUUUAAAAAUGACUCUUAAUUAAACUUGAUGCAAUGUCAUGUCCUCAUUUAUUUAUUCUGUUUGUUGGGUAAAUAUCCUACAUUAUUAUUAUGGCAGGUGAUAUUUUUGUUCAAACAAGUUCACUGGGCCUGGUGAUGAGAAAUCCAUCUCACAAGUUUGCACUUAUCAGCUCACUGAACGCUGCACGUAUUGUUCUAUUGUACGUGCGCCUAUGAACGGUAUCUUGGAAAAAAUGAAUGUCAGUAAAAAUGUUCCAGCUGUCUUUCAAAAGCGGGAUUAUCUUCGACCGGUUCUAUACGAAUGCGGAUGGCGACAAACGCGAGAAUUCAGUGGCUGCAGCGACGUCUUUUUUCCUCUUUUUUCACUCACACGUCUGCCGGCCUUUUUAAACAUUAGCAUGAAAGCAGAAGCGCAUUUACAUACAAUGACAGGUGUCCUGCACCUGCCCGGGCCUGGUGUCCCUGUGGCGUCUUACGGCUCAGCUGUGACACCUUUAUUUUUCUUCUUAACAAGGCCUUGGGCCAUCUGAGAUCCGUGGAUUUGGUCAAUAAAGCACCUCCAAACACCGCGCAGCUGUGUGUUCUGAUGCCACAAACUGUGUUUGAUGUUAUCGAGCUAUGACUUUUGCGAAAUGGUGCAGCUCUUAUUUUGGCUUAAUGACCCGGUAUCUUCCUGUCGCAGAAAUUUACAUAUUAUUUACUUAUUUACAGCUGAAUUCACGGCUGUGACUUAAAAGCAAACUGAACUUGGACACAGUCGUGUGCGCCUGUGGCCAUGAAUUGGAUCACAGUUCACAAAGAAAGCCCCAUGAGGGGUCAGCAUCGCACCGACACGCCUCACCCAGACAUGCUAAUGGCAGUUUUCCAUUGGAUUACUGUACAAACAACAAACAUAUACAAUAAACCUCACAAUUGAACACCACUUUUAUGAUUUUUGAGAAGUAAGAAGCCAAAGGGUCUAAAUCACAUACGUUCUUAUCGAAAGCCACGAUGGUUUAUUUAGUGUUUGAAUUAGCAUGGUGGCGAUUCGAGGGCUACGAGGUACACGGCGCUCCAGUGUUAAAGUGAAGUCCUUCACCACGUAAUAGUAAAGUAUUAAGAUUUCAUCGAUGCGAGUCAAGCCAACUGGCCACCACACACUCUGCACACACACAUCCAUCAGGCUGACAUCGUUAACUAAAGGACUCACAAAAGUACACAAUGUGGACUGCAGCAGAAAACACGCUGCACACACGCCUCUCUCACGCGACUCACAUGCCGCCCUGGUGUCCAAGGAGAGGACACCCGGGGGUCCAGCUGAGCCCUCAAAACACGAGAGGAGCUCGCUCUUCGCUGCUCUGACAUCAUCUCUCUGUCUCACUAUUUAUAUCUGUGAAUAAAUGUUUUGCAUUAUGAUUAAUGAAAAAAUGAGGGCCUUUAAAAAAUAUAUUUUAGUGACGACUAAUGGUCUCAUUAUUAUUUUCCAAUGAGAGAAUUCUUUUAAUUCUGUAUUUAGAAUUACUAGAUAUUUAAUGACGUUGUGAAGAAAACGAAAUCUUCAAGUCAUCCUCUACUGUUUUUUGUGUGGUUUAAGGUAACCGCCACUCACUGAGCUGACGUCAGACAAGAAUGAGGACUUGAAGAUGUCCCGUGUUUAGCCGGAUCGGGAGAUCUCUCGAGCGAGACUGGACAGUUAACUGGGGAAGCCGGUCUUUCUGAGGGAAACAUAUGUAUGUAUUUUUUGCAUUUCCUAUGUUGAUUUACCUUGUCUUGUUUUUGUCAAGAAUAAAAUCCUGUACGACAACGUACAGAAUUUAUUUUAUGAAUGUCUUACACUCUUAACCGCAGACCUUUCUUCUGGCAUCCAACCAUGAACCUUUCCACCAAUGCCAUUUCCUGCGUCCUCCCCAUGGGGGGUGAGUGCAGUGAUGGUAGCGUGUAGGACACUCAUCCAUCAGACACAGCGUCAACCAGGUGCCCCCUUCCCUCCAUAUCUGUCCCCUUCCCUUCAUCCGCACUUCACUCUGAUUCCGCCUCCACUGCAGUAUUGCCUUUCAACAAGCUGCGUGAUUAAGGGAGGUGAGGCAUUAGCGGUCAUCUUAUUGCCAGAUAAAACGAUUUUAAUUAAGAUGUUUGUGUACAGUUUCGAUUAAGCAGGUCUGGUUAAUUAAACUCUAGGUUAUUUUAAGCAGCUAAUUAAAUCCAAUUUCAACAGAGGCAGGAUAUAGUUGGGCAGCGAUAAGAAUUGGCAAUAUCAUUAUUUACAAAGUUGAAUGUUUACUUCAUUAAAAUGACAUCUGGGAGGUUCAAAUGGUAAUCCCAACACAAACAGGAGGAUUGGUGUUCUGCAAAUACACAUCAUGGCUUUUCCAACAUUAAACCACUAUUGGGGAACAAAGGCCUGCGUAAACCUCAUACAUCCCAACUCAUACAUCCCAACAACUAUCGAUAACAACGAGUGUGUGUUUUCAUUGAGGACCAUUCUGUAGAUGAAGGGAUUCAUUCUAAAAACACUUUUCAUAAUGCAUCCCCCCUCUCCGGCCCCUAGUAGCAGGGGAAGCUCAGGUUGAGGAGGAGUUUCUUGCAGUGUGCUGUAAUUUGUUGAUCCUUUUGCCAGCGUAGAGGACUCAUCAGAGCCGAUAUAAGGUUUCUCUAGACGACGGUAGUGAUUCCAGCGGACUCGAUGCGACGCCUCCCUGUGUUCCAAUUCAAUUUAAAUAUCCGCAUGGAAACAAAAUCACAGAUUUGCAUCAGAGAGCUUCUGUCCCGUAUGUGACAUCCUCUGUACCUGGACCAUCGAAUCCAUACGGGUAAAACUCCAAAGAAAAAAAAGCAUUUAAAUGCGAGGAUACAAUGGCAGUAGUAGCUCCAAUAAUAGCAGAAUAAUGGAAACAUGAUGAAUACUAAUAACAGCAGUGGAGAAAACAGAAUUAAUCUAUGGCCAAUGGGAUAAGGGUGGUUGACCCAAUAACUGUGGAAAGUCCUAAAAAUAACUUGUUAUGUCCCCGUUCCAGUAACUCAUAGACCCGGGAGUUAGCGCUGCCUUUUUGGGUAACUAAUUAAAAACACAUUUCCAUCAGAUGGAAGCAAAAUUAGUUUGUUUUAUUCUCUUCAAAAUUAAUUAAAAGAAAUGUAUUAACAUUUUUCUUAUCUUAGUUGGCUUGUUUGACGUUAAUUAAACUUAUGCAAGAGUAAAACAGGCUACGUUAGUAAAUUAAUACACAUUGUUCCAUUUUUAUUCAGAAAGGGUUUGCUAGUAUGUUUGCACAUUGGUGUGUGACAAUAAACACUAGAGCAAAUAUACCAUUAAAAACUAAAAUAGUUUAUAAUAGAAUAUGACAAAACAAACUAUUUCAGACUGUAUCGAAAUAAGUCUGAUUAAGUAUCAAUAGUAUUGAAAGUUGAGAAGGGACCAAGAGCCUCAGUCCAUGGGGCCAAAUUAUUUGUAUUAUUUGAGAAUAUCUUAUUUGUUGUCAAUCAAGAAGAAUGUAAGAUUUGUGAAGAAGAAAUCUGGCACUUUGUCUAAAGACCCGAGCCACUUUGUUAUAUAUUAAGUUAUGUGUAGUUAGGUACAAUCACAGAUUUUAGUCCUAAUUGCUUUCAACCCCCCUCGAUGUCUUGAUAUGUUCACUUUUUCACCUGACUCACUCUUUUCCUCCCGUUGUUCCUCCUGAAAUUUAAAACCUGCACCAGGAUUAAUGUUGUGAGAUUUUCCUCUUCGGCCCUGAACAAAUCAUGUGUGACAAAAACGGCAAAAAGAGGAUACAUUUUGACAUUUCAUCAGAAAUAUUUCAUCAUACAUUUCUCUUGUGAACUCUCGCCCCCAAUAAAUAUUUUUCUUUAACCAGAUUGAGUAAAAAACAUUAAAUUCUGAGUAUUUCAACGCAAGGAAGCCAUGACUCCCGAGAUCAACAGUCACGUGAAAAAUAGUUCUGUGAAACUUUGACUGAAGCGCAGACUGCUGAACACAGUGAGGAGAAGCUGUAAAAAGACAAAUAGUUCAACAUAUGAAGGCGUAAUUUAUUCAUUAAAUGAUCAGAAAAUUCAACCUGCAUUUUUUCAUUUGAAGGAUUUAAGGCAUUGCAACUGUUUAAUACUGAGUUCUCUCUGCUUUCUAGCCAUGAUUUUGUUGUUACCAUAGCAAUGCAGUUAACUUAAAUACUGCAGUGAAAAUCAAGGCCGCAGAGUAAAAUGCGAGAGGAGCAGUGGCGGCUGGCCAACCAGUUACAGUAAACAGCAUGAUUCCGUACAAAAAACGGUAUCAAACACGCAUUAUUAAUUUGCAGUUAAAU
ensembl:lncRNA